UACGUAGGGGGCAAGCGUUGUCCGGAUUUAUUGGGCGUAAAGAGCGUGUAGGCGGCCAUACAGGUCAGCUGUGAAAACUCGAGGCUCAACCUCGAGACGUCGGUUGAAACCGUAUGGCUAGAGUCCGGAAGAGGAGAGUGGAAUUCCCGGUGUAGCGGUGAAAUGCGCAGAUAUCGGGAAGAACACCCGUGGCGAAGGCGGCUCCCUGGGACGGUACUGACGCUGAGACGCGAAAGCGUGGGGAGCGAACAGG
rnacentral:rRNA from 1 species